GAUGAACGCUGGCGGCGUGCCUAAUACAUGCAAGUCGAGCGAACAGAUAAGGAGCUUGCUCCUUUGACGUUAGCGGCGGACGGGUGAGUAACACGUGGGUAACCUACCUAUAAGACUGGAAUAACUCCGGGAAACCGGGGCUAAUGCCGGAUAACAUUUAGAACCGCAUGGUUCUAAAGUGAAAGAUGGUUUUACUACCACUUAUAGAUGGACCCGCGCCGUAUUAGCUAGUUGGUAAGGUAACGGCUUACCAAGGCAACGAUACGUAGCCGACCUGAGAGGGUGAUCGGCCACACUGGAACUGAGACACGGUCCAGACUCCUACGGGAGGCAGCAGUAGGGAAUCUUCCGCAAUGGGCGAAAGCCUGACGGAGCAACGCCGCGUGAGUGAUGAAGGUCUUCGGAUCGUAAAACUCUGUUAUUAGGGAAGAACAAAUGUGUAAGUAACUGUGCACGUCUUGACGGUACCUAAUCAGAAAGCCACGGCUAACUACGUG
rnacentral:rRNA from 1 species